rnacentral:rRNA from 1 species
GCGGGCUGCCUCUGCCUCUGGGAGGUGCGCUGGGUACGGCCUCUCAUACUGCAUAUGAGCCUUCCACGCGUGUGGGGGGUUGGAAAGAUUUCUUGGUUGGCGAUGGGCUCGCGGCCUAUCAGCUUGCUGGUGAUGUAAUGGCUCUCCAAGGUGUCGACGGGUAGCCGGCCUGAGAGGGUGACCGGCCAUACUGGGACUGAGACACGGCCCAGACUCCUACUUUAGGCAGCAGUGGGGAAUAUUGCACCAUGGGCGGAAGCCUGAUGCAGCAACGCCGCGUGAGGGAUGACGGCCUUCGGGUUGCAAACCUCUUUUAGCAAGGAAGAUUUUAAAGUGACGGUACUUGAAGAAAAAGCGCCGGCUAACUACCGUGCCAGCAGCCGCGGUAAUACGUAGGGCGCAACCGCUUUCCGGAAUUAUUGGGCGUAAACAGCUCCUAGGCGGGUUGUCCCGUCUGCUGUGAAAUCCCAAG